rnacentral:lncRNA from 13 species
UCUCUGAUUACCGUACUGUGCGGUUCUUAUUAUAACUGAGUCCGUAACGUUUUAUUUUAAAUUUCUGUAUUUUGGCAGUACUUAUUUGUACUUGCGAUGUCUUAUUGUAAUAAGUUUAAUUUGGAGCGCUUUUCGAUUGCUGCGACUUCUGUUUCUGUUGAGCACCAACUGUUUAAAAUUUUGACUACGUCUGUUUUUGAGUUUGAGUUGUACACAUUUUCAAGCCAAACAACUCGUAAUGCAUGUCACUUCUCGACGAGGAAGCCCUCAACUUCACCACAGACGGAAUGUAUUUUUUUUUUUUUAUAGUAUUUGCGCUGAGGAUGAUUCAAAAUUAGAGCCGAAAUGAUAUUUAUAAUUAAAUUCUUAUGAAAUAUA